GGCUCGGCGUCGCAGAGCGGGCGUGGGGACCCGGGCGCAGGCCGGGCGCGCGGAGGAGGCUGGCGGGCGCCCAGGGACAGUGACUUAGAGAAGGCCAUGUCCCUUGCUAAUGAGCCACAGCUGCUUCUCCUAGGACGCAGGCCACAGAGACAGUUCGGCCGACCCUUCCGAGACUGAGCUUUGAGCUCACUAGAUGGUGGAUAUGCAUGGAGCACAGAUCUGUGAUAUCUGGGCACUGAAAGUGUGACAGUCACUGUGUGGACUGUCCCUGUGGGAUUUGCCCAUUCGAUAGGCUUGGUGUUUGUGAACUCAGGGUCUGUGACAGUGUCGCCACAUGUCAGGGACAGGAUGACGGGACAGGCUCUGGCUGUCUCACUGAGUAGCCCAUGCUGGCCUGGAAUUCCAGGCAAUGCUACUGCCUCAGCCACCAGAGUGCUGGGAUUGGAGGCAUACACCACAGCAGACAGCUCACUUCCUGUCUCAGAGUAAGCCUGAGAAGCCUGCAAAGAAGCCCAAGCUAAAAGGAGAUAGACAGACAGGCAGGCCGACAGGUGCCUGACCAGCUGCAGCUGGCGCCAUCUGCCUGUGACCAGCAUACUGCUGACCUAUACCCACCCGAUAGACAGGGCACAGUGCUGAGCCCAGGACCACGAGAACAAAGACGCAGUCCCUCCCUGCGCUGGUGACAACAGGGUGACGGCCCUUGGAAUCUAGUGGCUUCGGGGUGAGACUUCACAACGCCGAGAACAACGUGGGUUUCCCGAGGCCCCUAGACCCUGCCGCAGCAUGGGGAGAGGUGCAGACCCCACCCCUCCCGGCCACGCGGCACAUCCACCGGAAAGCGGAAAAGCAGGGCACGACCACGACAGCGACCUCAGAGCGGCUGGCUGCUGUGCCUGGCUCUGCCUUCUGAAACAGGCUGCCCUUGCCCUGCCUCACAAGCCUUCUUAUUCCUGUUUGGUGCCCUCAUGUUUCUCCAUCUCCAGAUAACACUGGAAGCCCAUUUCUGUGAACAGCACUGUCCUCCCUCCCUUCUCUCCUCUUUCUGUGUCAGGCCUCUUUCCAUUUCAAUUAGUGUUACUUCUCAUAAGUAAAGUUUUGAUAAAAGAUAAAAAAGCAACAACACAAAACAAGAGCUUCAUUCAUGUAUUCAAGGAAGUGAUUUACAUAUUAGGUCCGAAUAAACUUCUGCUUUGAAUUUUUA